UGGGGAAUAUUGCACAAUGGGCGAAAGCCUGAUGCAGCAACGCCGCGUGAGUGAUGAAGGCCUUCGGGUUGUAAAGCUCUGUCUUUUGGGACGAUAAUGACGGUACCAAAGGAGGAAGCCACGGCUAACUACGUGCCAGCAGCCGCGGUAAUACGUAGGUGGCAAGCGUUGUCCGGAUUUACUGGGCGUAAAGGAUGCGUAGGCGGAUUUUUAAGUGAGAUGUGAAAUACCCGGGCUUAACUUGGGUGCUGCAUUUCAAACUGGGAAUCUAGAGUGCGGGAGAGGAGAAUGGAAUUCCUAGUGUAGCGGUGAAAUGCGUAGAGAUUAGGAAGAACACCAGUGGCGAAGGCGAUUCUCUGGACCGUAACUGACGCUGAGGCAUGAAAGCGUGGGUAGCAAACAGGAUUAGAUACCCUGGUAGUCCACGCCGUAAACGAUGAGUACUAGGUGUAGGAGGUAUCGACCCCUUCUGUGCCGCAGUUAACACAAUCAAGUACUCCGCCUGGGAAGUACGAUCGCAAGAUUAAAACUCAAAGGAAUU
rnacentral:rRNA from 1 species